CAUAGAAUAUUUCUGCCCAGCUGAGUGUUUGGCAAUAUUAGGAGCUCCUGAAUUCUAUGCAUAUUAUGAAACUAAUGGUUGGGGAGAUUAAUGUAAAAGCUUAGAUGUUAGAGUAACUGCAAGAAAAAGAGAAAACCCUUUAGCAUAUGUUAUAAACCCCAGACUUGAAUAUGAGUGUUUUAACAGAUCUAUUGGAAAGGUUAAAGGUUAAUGUGCAUCUGGAUGAAAAAAUGCAUGAACAAAAAAUAAUUCUCUCUAUGCAAUAUUUGCAAAAGCCACAAUACAGGGAGAUACAAUAACAGGACCCCCAAGAUGUACAAAUAAAACUGGGCAAAGAGGCCAUGUAGAAGAUGUAAACCAAACUGUAGUGCCUCCUGUGAUAAAAUUAUAUGAAGAACAAACAGUUGCCAUAGCAGACUAUUGUUGGGUUUGUGGUGGAAAAUGACUGUGGGCCACAUUACCAAAACAUUGGAAAGGAAUAUGCACCAGAGUAAGACUAGCACAAUGUUAACAUGGGACCCAAAAGAAUCUGAAACCCAGACUGAAUUUAGAAAAACUGUAUAGUACAAACAUAGAGUAAAAAGAGUAUACCAGCCAGACCCUAAUGUAUACAUAGACGCAAACCAAGAGGAAUACCACAGGAAUUUAAAGCUAGAAAUGAAAUAAAAUCAGGCUUUGAGUCUGUUUUUGUAUGGAUAACACCCAACAAGAAUGCAGAAUGGAUUAAUUACAUGUAUUACAAUCAGUAAAGAUUCAUUAAUUACACUGAUGAAGCAUUAAAAGCUUUAGGUGACCAGUUAGCUGCAACAAGCAAAAUGACAUGGCAAAAUAGACAGGCACUAAAUUGGCUAUUGGCAGAAAAAGGAGGUGUCUGUGUAAUGUCUGGAGCUGACUGUUGUACUUAUAUCCCAAAUAAUACAGCUCCUGAUGGAUCUUUUACUGCAGCAAUGAAGAAGUUGAAAAAUCUAAGGGAAGAGGUGACUGCGAAUGCAGGAAGAGAUCAGCAUUUUGGAAACUGGUUUGACAACCUAUUUGGAGCUUGGGGAGAAUGGCUUACUAAAGUGGGAACAAUAAUAGAUGUAGCUGUUGCUAUUUUUGUGUUGCUGUUUUGUUGUGUUGUGCCUUUUCUCAGAUCAAUGAUGGCCAUUGCUGCAGCCAAACAGAUGGUCAAUGUGUCUGUGAAACCUUCUGGAAUUGACAUUGGGGCUACUGUGUACCCCAUAAGUUCUAGGCUUGACAAACUGGACGAAAUAAUGUGAAACUUCUCUACACACAGAGUGGAAGUAACACUGGAGGGUCAGGGGAUAUGACAUGAAGAAAGGAUCGACAAGCACCUCAGUGCUUAACCGCAAGAGCAUGACUCUACUGGUGGUUUAAAAACCCGCUGUCUGCUCCAACACCACCAGAUAGCAGGCUACUGGAAAUAUCUAAUGAAUGCCUAACACAAGACCUGGUUUAUACCAGACUGGAUCUUCUCUUCUGGGGGUAGUAUUCUACUUUCUCCCUCUUUUGGGGUAGGCUC